rnacentral:rRNA from 1 species
GUUGUUGCGGUUAAAAAGCUCGUAGUUGGAGUUCUGCCAGGUGCCACCUGUCCGCCCCAGUGGUGAGUACGUGGUGCGCAUUUGGCCCUUUCAAGGGGAGCGUAUUUGCACUUAAUUGUGUGGUGCGGGAUCCUUGACUUUUACUUUGAGGAAAUAAAAUUGUUCCAACCAGGCUCUCUUCGUGCAUAGCUCACCAUGGAAUAAUAGCAUUGGACCUCGAUUCUAAGCUGUUGGUUGCCAAAACCGAGGUAAUGAUGAAAAGGGAUAUUUGGGGGCAUUCGUAUUUAACUGUCAAAGGUGAAAUUCUUGGAUUUGUUAAAGACGGACUACUGCGAAAGCAUCUGCCAUGGAUGUUUUCAUUGAUCAAGAACGAAAGUUAGGGGAUCGAAAACGAUCAAAUACCGUCCUAUUCUUAACUAUAAACCAUGCCGGCUAAAGAUCGGAGGUUGUUCGUUUUGUGACGCCUUCAGCAUCUUGAAAGAAAUCAAAGCCUUUGGGUUCCGGGGGGAGUAUGGUCGCAAGGCUGAAACUUAAAGGAAUUGACGGAAG